UACGUAGGGUGCGAGCGUUAAUCGGAAUUACUGGGCGUAAAGCGUGCGCAGGCGGUUAUGCAAGACAGAUGUGAAAUCCCCGGGCUCAACCUGGGAACUGCAUUUGUGACUGCAUGGCUAGAGUACGGUAGAGGGGGAUGGAAUUCCGCGUGUAGCAGUGAAAUGCGUAGAUAUCUGGAGGAAUACCGGUGGCGAAGGCGGCAUCCUGGACCGACAUUGACGCUGAGGAGCGAAAGCUAGGGGAGCAAACGGG
rnacentral:rRNA from 1 species